ACCCUAUUAUUUUUAAUGUAAAAUUUUAUACAAAGGUAUUACUAGGUAAGAUCUUGAAACCUAAAGAAUUUGGCGGUAUUAUAGUCUAGUUAGAGGAAUCUGUUACUUAAUCGAUAGUCCACGUUGAACCUUACUUAUUUAAUUUCUUGUAUACCGCUGUUUAAGAAUAUAUUUUUAGAUUAUUUUCUAAAUUAAUUAUUUUUUAAAAAUUUCAAGUCAAGGUGCAGUGAUGUUUAAGUGUAUUAAUGGAUUACAAUAAAUUAUAUUUAUAUGGAUUAUUAUUUAAAUAUAAUUUGAAGGUGGAUUUAUAUGUAAAUUUUUGAAGAUUUUAGUUUUGAUUUUUAGCCCUAUAAUAUGUACACAUCGC
rnacentral:rRNA from 1 species